GUAAUUUCCCAAAGGUCACACAUCUGGCAUGUGGCUUAGCUGGUGCUCAAAAGCCUGUCUGUCUAACUCAAAAGUCUGCAUUCUUUCCACUCUACCUAUGAUCUUAUGAAAAGAAUAUGCCAAUAAAACAUGAACUCGGGUAGCUGUUGCUCUGCUGUCUGUUUAUGGCUGUGAAUUGGAACUUCACGGACUCUCUCAUCCCCAGUCCACGCAAUCCAUACUUCGUGAUGACUAAUUAUGCUCCAGGAAUAGGCAGAGAUUCAGGCUACAAAAAGUGGCAGAAGUCAAAUCUGGUGAUCUCAAAGCUCACUCUGUGCAGAAUCUCUGAGAAGUCUAAUAUAAACUGAAUGAGGAUGAUGUGCAGACCAGGCCUGGGCCACAGACACUGGGCAUAUGUGUUGGAUUCUCAAUUCAGGACUGAGGAAAAUCAAACACAAAGAUGAUAUAUAGAAUCUUGCUCUGUUGCCCCGGCUGGAGUACCGUGAUGCAAUCUCAGCUCACUGCAACCUCUGCCUCCCAGGUUCAAGCAAUUCUUGUGCCUCAGCUUCCCAAGAAGCUGGGACUACAGGCGCCUGCCACUACACCUGACUAAUUUUUAUACUAUUAGUAGAGACAGGGUCUUGCCAUGUUGGGCAGGCUGGUCUUGAACUCCUGACCUCAAGUGAUCCUCCUGGCUUAGCCUCCCAAAGCGCUGGGAUUACAGGCAUGAGCCACUGCGCCCAGCCUCAAUGCCAUUUUAUUACAUGUCUUUCCCCUUGGCUGAGGAGAAGAGGCAACAGGGACAGAAGAGAUGUUGCUGUGAUCUGUGCUGGUGAAGGAGGCAGCACAGAAGGGACAGUGAGGUGGGAGAGGAGCAGGAGGUCUCAGGUAGCCCCAUUGAGCUGGGAAAUGCAUGUUCUCUCAGCACACCUCUAUAAGGAUGAGAAGCAGGGCACUGUAAGCUAUAAAUAAAUUCUUCCUCCUCCUCCUUGAGGAGGCUCAGUAUAAAUGAAUUAGGAGAUGUGGACAUUAUUAAUAAAGGAAAUUUUGAAUUUCUUUUGAAGUAUGUGAAUAUGUGUUUCAAAAUAAUGCAAACAAUCUUAAUAUGUAAUGAUGCUAGUGUUCACUUCCAGGACCUACAGAUGUGAGAAAUUGCAUCAUUU
rnacentral:lncRNA from 1 species